GUGGCUUUGCCCCUGGUUUCAUCAUUUCCCACGUUUUUCGCUGCUGCAAGGUCCAACCGUGCAGCGCUGUGGAUUUUGCGGUUCCUGUCAAACGAUUGCACGGUGACAGCGAUCAGUCGCCCCUUCGAAACUGUGCACGCGCGAGGUGACGACGAGGUGUGCGGCAUCGACGCGGUCCAUCAUCUCCUCAAGUACUCACGCAGCCCCGGCGGUAGAGUCACACGUAAGAGAAAGAGACAGGCGAUACGACACUGACGCGUUGUCACUCAAGGGCGUUCAAGCUAGCUGUAAAGGGUGAGCAGCGGCUGUUAUACAUCCAUGUGCAUCAUGCGCUGACACUGUCCGACUGUGCGAGAUGACGAUGCAUUGCUUCCACUAACUACACAUCCCAGAAACAACACAAUGCGCCUGCAGCUGCUACAGAAGACACCCAUAUGCAUGAAUGAGAAAUACAACAAAGCUCUCCUCGGGGAAUACGGGCAGCCCCUACACCUUCUGUAACCAGAGCUUGGGUUCCAACACCUGAAGACCCGGUAAACGGACCAAGAGCGAAGAUGGCACCGAGAUACAUGCGCUCACUAAUAAUCGCGUUUCAUUCAUUCUCACCUGUUCAACAACUACGGCUCCUGGAGUUCUAUCAGCGCCUGAUCACUACGAUUGGCCUUACCACAUGCAACACGCGUGCAGAGUGUCUCGCAAGCAAUAUGUAUUGCUAAUCGCGUAGUACACCACGCACACACACACCUACACAAUAUGUGGUCCGUUCUCCUUCAUAAGUAUGAGCCGAUGUCGACGCUGUUUUUUUCGCCGCACACUUUACCACAUCACAACAAACGUUGCACGCCUCCAUGCAAAAGCCGAUAUUCCUCAUCGCACUAUCCAUCACAGGCCACCGCGUGGUUCACGUUUGCAAGUACGAAAGGCCGGCGUCGCCAGAUUUUCCUUACGCAGUUUACCGCACACUCAUGUUCUCCAACAGACAAUACUGCUAAUCCGGCUGACACGAGAAUUUUUGAGGUUUACAUAAAAAAAAUGCUGGCACUCCCAUAAUCGAGAGUAGAUGUAAGCGUGAAAAAGCUACCGGCAAAUUAUAUUGGUUGGAGAUGAUACUCACCACAGUAUUAAAAUAGGUGUAGUUCAUGUUCGCAACAGCACACCCCAUCAUACCACAGCGCACCACGCCAUAAUGUGUACUGGUCCAUAUGGACGCAGUAGCUUCCUCUCACCAACACAACCUCAUUGCAAGUCUCGUCUCGACCAAACAGCAAUCCGCGGCGCGGCGGACGCGCUGAGGAACUCACGGACCGCUGGCGUUGAAAUGAGC